UAUGCCUACGGGAGGCAGCAGUGGGGAAUAUUGCACAAUGGGGGGAACCCUGAUGCAGCGACGCCGCGUGAGUGAAGAAGUAUGUCGGUAUGUAAAGUUCUAUCAGCAGGGGAGAAGAUGACGGUACCUGAGUAAGAAGCCCCGGCUAACUACGUGCCAGCAGCCGCGGUAAUACGUAGGGGGCAAGCGUUAUCCGGAUUUACUGGGUGUAAAGGGAGCGUAGACGGCAGUGCAAGUCUGGAGUGAAAGGCGGGGGCUCAACCCCCGGACUGCUCUGGAAACUGUACGGCUGGAGUGCAGGAGAG
rnacentral:rRNA from 1 species